UACAGAGGUCUCAAGCGUUGUUCGGAUUCAUUGGGCGUAAAGGGUGCGUAGGUGGCGGGGUAAGUCAGGUGUGAAAUUUCGGAGCUUAACUCCGAAACUGCAUUUGAUACUGCCUUGCUUGAGGACUGGAGAGGAGACUGGAAUUCACGGUGUAGCAGUGAAAUGCGUAGAUAUCGUGAGGAAGACCAGUGGCGAAGGCGGGUCUCUGGACAGUUCCUGACAC
rnacentral:rRNA from 1 species